AGAUGCCAUUUGUGGGCAGCUCCAGUGCCAGACAGGUAGGACCCAGCCUCUGCUGGGCUCCAUCCGGGAUCUACUCUGGGAGACAAUAGAUGUGAAUGGGACUGAGCUGAACUGCAGCUGGGUGCACCUGGACCUGGGCAGUGAUGUGGCCCAGCCCCUCCUGACUCUGCCUGGCACAGCCUGUGGCCCUGGCCUGGUGUGUAUAGACCAUCGAUGCCAGCGUGUGGAUCUCCUGGGGGCACAGGAAUGUCGAAGCAAAUGCCAUGGACAUGGGGUCUGUGACAGCAACAGGCACUGCUACUGUGAGGAGGGCUGGGCACCCCCUGACUGCACCACUCAGCUCAAAGCAACCAGCUCCCUGACCACAGGGCUGCUCCUCAGCCUCCUGGUGUUAUUGGUCUUGGUGAUGCUUGGUGCCAGCUACUGGUACCGUGCCCGCCUGCACCAGCGACUCUGCCAGCUCAAGGGACCCACCUGCCAGUACAGGGCAGCCCAAUCAGGUCCCCCUGAACGGCCAGGACCUCCGCAGAGGGCCCUGCUGGCGCGAGGCACUAAGGCUAGUGCUCUCAGCUUCCCGGCCCCCCCUUCCAGGCCGCUGCCGCCUGACCCUGUGUCCAAGAGACUCCAGUGGUGCUCUUCAUUAGGUGAUGGGGUGCCCCUCAGCUUUCAGACACUCUGAGCCCCAGAAGCAGCAAAGGUCUCAGGGGCCAGCCAAGCCCCCACCCCCAAGGAAGCCACUGCCUGCCGACCCCCAGGGCCGGUGCCCAUCGGGUGACCUGCCCGGCCCAGGAGCUGGAAUCCCACCCCUAGUGGUACCCUCCAGACCAGCGCCACCGCCUCCGACAGUGUCCUCGCUCUACCUCUGACAUCUCUGGACGUUCCGCUGCCUCCAAGCCGGACUUAGGGCUUCAAGAGGCGGGCGUGCCCUCUGGAGUUCCCUACCAUGACUGAAGGCGCCAGAGACUGUAUGCGGUGUCUUAAGGCUCCGGGCACCGCCACGCGCUGUCAAGCAGCACUCUGCGGACCUGCCGGCGUAGUUGCAGCCGGGGCUUGGGGAGGGGCUGGGGGUUG
rnacentral:sRNA from 1 species